rnacentral:lncRNA from 1 species
GCCAGAUCUGUAUUUACAUGUCUGUGAAGGGAAGGGGGGAAACAGGAACCGGUCUGAACCAGCACUCACCGACUCUAAGGGCUAUUCCAGUUCCCUCCCGCUCCUCCCUCUCUCCCUCUCUCCCUCUCACUCUCCUUAUCUUCCCCCCUCUCUCUCUUCUCUCUCUUACUCAAGAGAGGACUGGCUGAACUUUUCCUCAAGCACCCAGUCACAUUCUGUCUCCUGGAACAGGACCCGGGAACACAUUCCUGGAAAGUGAAAGAUGAUCUAUCUCCCAACCCCAGUACAACAAUGUUGAUGGAGUGAUGCGUGGGGAUCGGGGCGCCGCAGGUCGCAGCAGGAUAGGUGUUUACGCCACAGUUACAUGAAGUAGCCAGGAGGUAUCAUGGCGGAUGCUUAUGAUGCUUAUUGGCAGGGCCGGCCCUGAGUCACAGGAUGGAACAGGCUACAGAACAAGUCAACACACUGAGAGCCAGACGAGAGUGUCACUAUUUGUGGACCCUGGGGAGGACAGUGUCCAAACAGGACUCGCCAACUCCGUCCGCUGUCACCACUGGAGACGGACUCCGAUUUAUUUCAAUUCCAGUCACCUCAGGUUAUCAAGUGGCGAUAGAAUUCUAAUUCGUUUUUCUGGGCAUUAUCAGACGUCCAGUUUGAUUUCCAUUCCAUGAUGUUCAUUCAUCGAUUCUUGAAUUCACAAGAGUUGAUAUUUGAUUUAUCUCUUGACUAGUCGAAGCAGCAACCAAACACCGAGGGGUUAACAAUAAAUAUCAUGAAAGAAGUAAUGUUCGUUAUCUCUGUAAUGUUUCCCAGUGAUUUAUUAAGACGCACAAAUGACAACAUUUCAAUCCCACUAGGAUCUUCGUCAGGUCAAUUCAACAAUAAAGUACCAGUAUGUAAAUCGGAAUGCAGGCGCUUGUGUCAACAUAUGCAUGUACACUGAACAAAAUUAUAAACGCAACACGCAACAACUUCAACAAUUUUACUGAGUUACAGGUCGUAUAAGGAAAUCAGUCAAUUGAAAUAAAAUCAUUAGACGCUAAUCUAUGGAUUUCACAUGGGUGGGCCAGGGAGAGCAUAGGCCCACCCACCCACUUGGGAGACAGGCCCACCCACUAGGCAACCAGGCCCAGCCAAUCACAAUUACUUUUUCCCCACAAAAGGGCUUAAUUACAGACAGAAAUACUCCUUAGUUUCAUCAGCUGUCCGGGUGCCGGGUCUCAGACGACCCCACAGGUGAGGAAGCCACAUGCAUGUAUAUAGAUUUAUUCCAUAGAAUUCACAUACACACUUCUUGGUAGAGAAUGCAAAGCUUUCUGACAUGGUAAUGAUAGCCCAGAGAUAGCAUGGGAUACUCUUAGCGGCAAACUGUUUUUGAGACGAACUAGAGGGGGGUAGAACACGUUGUAGACUACUUCUGUUUCUGGUUUAUAUGGCUCAGGAAUA